ensembl:lncRNA
GACAGGGGAGAAGGUUGUGAUCAAGUUUCCCUGAACUUCUUCCCCAGUGAGAAAGACAUUCCCAACUCCCUCCUCUCCCUGAGGGAAAAAUAGAAUCAUAAAAUAGGGCUAAUAGUAACUCAUAGUUUGCCUCGUUGGAAAAGAUCAAAGAAUGAACAGGACAUGGGAGAAUAAUCAGAGAAGUGUUUAUUACUUGUAAAUAGAUGAGAGAUUAAGCAGGAGACCAGCAGUUUAGGAAGGAAAAAGGAGGGUUUCUUUUAUUUUUUUGUCCGGAGGAGGAGAGACAGGGAAAGUCAGCCACGGUGGGAGAAGGGGCUCCUUUUUAAGUUUUCGCGUCUUCCCCGUCCUCUCCCCACCCCAAAUCUGGUCUUCCCAUCCGUGAAAAUGCCUCCCCUUUUUCCCUUUCUUCGCCUCACCUUCGGUCACUCCGGUGUAGGGAUGACCCGCGUGUUGCCGACCCCGGUGCCUCCUCCCAGAGGCCGCUCGGGUGCCCGCUGGGGCUGCCGGAGUGCUGGGGCCUCUGUCUGGGGGUGGGGAGAAAAUCAGACCCAACAGCCCACUGCGGGCUGGGGGUCGCCGGCCUUGCGGUUCCACGCGGGCCGAGUGGCGGAAAGUUGCAGCCGAAUCCGCUUCUCCGGCGCUUCUGGGCCGCCAGCGGGGCCAGGUCUUUGGGGGGAGAGGCUGGAGUUCCCCGCCGAGCCUGCAGCCUGGGCAUUGCGCUUCCUCGGGUCUCCAUCCUGACCUUCCCAGACAUACACACUUCAUGCCGGUGAAGAGACAAAAAAGCCGAGCGGCCCGGCUCCGAGCCCAGGCGUGGAGUGCUCACUCCAACCCGGAAUAUUUUUCUAUCAGAGAAUAAUGGAGCACAAAAUAAUUCAGCAGAGCGGAUGGGCAGGAGCGCAGUGUGGGAGCCCCGCGCGGUGGGCCGGCUGCACAGCGGGCCGCGCCGCCCAGCCCCGGAGGACCAUUUCGUUGGAGUGUAGAGCGAGGCCGCAGCCCAGCCCUGACCCAGCAGCCCGAGGGCCAGUCUCUAAAUGACGGCCCUUCAAGAGGACUCGGAAAUGCAAAAAGGGAGCCGAAAAAUUUAAACAGUCUGAAGGCUGCAUGUCCUCCUCCAGGCCGGAUCCUGAAACCGACCGAUGGGCCUUUCCGGGCUCCCUCAUUUUUUAUGGGGUUGCGGCACGCAGUGAAAGACGGCUCCCCAGAUCCCAGGAGUGCCCGGAUCUGUCCAGGCAAGUUUGUCUGAGAGUGCAGGUGGCACCAAGACAUUGCCUCCGGGUUUAAGGGGAUAGAGGAAGGUGGUACCCUAGUUUCAGGCACUUACAUGUUCCUCUCGGUCUGGAUUCCCCCAGCCUGGGAAUCCAGGCUUGCUUUUGGAAUGACUCUUAUCUAAGGAGGGAGGCUUGGAAGGGAUGUGGGUAGGCUUAUCAAGGGGAAACUUGGGCCUGAGCUAACUGGAUCCCUUAGGGGUCCCAGGGACCCCAGAGAAGGAAAGGGAACAGUUUCUGGAGGAAGGAAAGAAGGCACACAGGGAGCUCUGUUUGUGAAGAAAUGAUGUUCUUGUUAUUAUUGAGGUUAAUGAUGGUAAUGAUUGGGUAUGGCUGGGUCAGCCUGAAAGAAGAGCUCUCCACAGCCCUUUCUCACAGAGGCUUCUCUGGAGAAGUCACUGGCUCUCCGACCUAGCUGUAAUUGGGGAGAAUAAAAUGAAGACCUUUCCUCCCCUGCCCUUUCCUCCCCCACUCCUUAAGAACUCCAGGAAAAAAGGGGACACCUUGUAAAAUCUUCAUCACCCACCCCAAUAAUUUCCCCUCUGCUCUCUCCAGUAAAACGCGUCAUUUGGGGGCACUGGGCUUUUGCCAGGCACCCUUCUUAUGAAGUUCAGCAAGCAGUUCCUGGGCCAAGUCCCCAAUAAUGAAUUCUGUUUCUGACUCUGGAGGAGACCCAGGAUUCUCUUGCCUGCUCCAUGGAAUUCUCCCUCUAUCCUUGUCUCUGCCUUCCUUGGUCUAGGGUGCCUCAACCCAU